AACGAACGCUGGCGGCAUGCCUAACACAUGCAAGUCGAACGAUGCUUUCGGGCAUAGUGGCGCACGGGUGCGUAACGCGUGGGAAUCUGCCCUUGGGUUCGGGAUAACCGUUGGAAGCGACGGCUAAUACCGGAUGAUGACGUAAGUCCAAAGAUUUAUCGCCCAGGGAUGAGCCCGCGUCCGAUUAGGUAGUUGGUGGGGUAAAGGCCUACCAAGCCGACGAUCGGUAGCUGGUCUGAGAGGAUGAUCAGCCACACUGGGACUGAGACACGGCCCAGACUCCUACGGGAGGCAGCAGUGGGGAAUAUUGGACAAUGGGCGAAAGCCUGAUCCAGCAAUGCCGCGUGAGUGAUGAAGGCCUUAGGGUUGUAAGGCUCUUUUACCCGGGAUGAUAAUGACAGUACCGGGAGAAUAAGCCCCGGCUAACUCCGUGCCAGCAGCCGCGGUAA
rnacentral:rRNA from 1 species